rnacentral:tRNA from 1 species
GUAGACAUAGUUUAAUCAAAAUAUUAGUUUGUGAAUCUAAAGAUAGGGGUUAAACCCCCCUUGUCCACC